rnacentral:rRNA from 1 species
GACGAACGCUGGCGGCGUGCUUAACACAUGCAAGUCGAACGAGUGGCGAACGGGUGAGUAAUACGUGAGUAACCUGCCCUCUUUUUGGGAUAAGCCUUGGAAACGGGGUCUAAUACCGGAUAAAGGGGGAUGGGCUCGCGGCCUAUCCGGUUGUUGGUGGGGUGAUGGCCUACCAAGGCGGUGACGGGUAGCCGGCCGGAGAGUGUGACCGGACACAUUGCAAUGUAGAUACUGCCCAGACACCUACGGGUGCAGAAGUGGGGGAUAUUGCACAAUGGGCGAAAGACUUAUGCGGCGACGCCGCGUGGGGGAUUAAGGCUUUCGGGUUGUAAACCUCUUUCGCUAGCGAAUCGGUAGGUGGAGAAGAAGCGCCGGCUAACUACGUGCCAGCAGCCGCGGUAAUAC